rnacentral:rRNA from 1 species
AACGAACGCUGGCGGCAUGCCUAACACAUGCAAGUCGAACGAGACCUUCGGGUCUAGUGGCGCACGGGUGCGUAACGCGUGGGAACCUGCCCUUAGGUUCGGAAUAACUCCCCGAAAGGGGUGCUAAUACCGGAUAAUGUCUUCGGACCAAAGAUUUAUCGCCUUUGGAUGGGCCCGCGUUGGAUUAGCUAGUUGGUAGGGUAAAAGCCUACCAAGGCGACGAUCCAUAGCUGGUCUGAGAGGAUGAUCAGCCACACUGGGACUGAGACACGGCCCAGACUACUAAGGGAGGCAGCAGUGGGGAAUAUUGGGCAAUGGGCGAAAGCCUGAUCCAGCAAUGCCGCGUGAGUGAUGAAGGCCUUAGGGUUGUAAAGCUCUUUUACCCGGGAUGAUAAUGACAGUACCGGGAGAAUAAGCUCCGGCUAACUCCGUG